AGCGUAUAUUAAAGUUGUUGCAGUUAAAAAGCUCGUAGUUGAAUUUCGGAGUUUGUCGGUUGGUCGGGCUUCAUUGUCCGCACUGACCUGAUGGAUUCCUACCUUCUGAAUAACCAGCAUGCUAUUAAGUUAGUGCGUUGGGGAAGCAGGGCUAUUACCUUGAAAAAAUUAGAGUGCUUAAAGCAGGCUUAUGCUUGAAUAGAUUAGCAUGGAAUAAUAAAAUAGGACGGCAUGGUUCUAUUUUGUUGGUUUCUAGGAUCACCGUAAUGAUUAAUAGGGAUAGUUGGGGGCAUUAGUAUUCAAUUGUCAGAGGUGAAAUUCUUGGAUUUAUUGAAGACUAACUUCUGCGAAAGCAUUUGCCAAGGAUGUUUUCAUUAAUCAAGAACGAAAGUUAGGGGAUCGAGGACGAUCAGAUACCGUCGUAGUCUUAACCAUAAACUAUGCCGACUAGGGAUCGGACGAUGUUAAUUUUUUAAUGACUCGUUC
rnacentral:rRNA from 1 species